UACGUAGGGUGCAAGCGUUAAUCGGAAUUACUGGGCGUAAAGCGUGCGCAGGCGGUUCGUUAAGACAGAUGUGAAAUCCCCGGGCUUAACCUGGGAACUGCAUUUGUGACUGGCGGACUCGAGUAUGGCAGAGGGGGGUAGAAUUCCACGGUGUAGCAGUGAAAUGCGUAGAGAUGUGGAGGAAUACCGAUGGCGAAGGCAGCCCCCUGGGCCAAUACGUGACGCUCAUGCACGAAAGCGUGGGGAGCAAACAG
rnacentral:rRNA from 1 species